AUUGAACGCUGGCGGCAUGCCUUACACAUGCAAGUCGAACGGCAGCACGGACUUCGGUCUGGUGGCGAGUGGCGAACGGGAGAGUAAUGUAUCGGAACGUACCUUUCAGUGGGGGAUAACGUAGCGAAAGUUACGCUAAUACCGCAUAUUCUGUGAGCAGGAAAGCAGGGGAUCGCAAGACCUUGCGCUGAUUGAGCGGCCGAUAUCAGAUUAGCUAGUUGGUGGGGUAAAGGCCUACCAAGGCGACGAUCUGUAGCGGGUCUGAGAGGAUGAUCCGCCACACUGGAACUGAGACACGGUCCAGACUCCUACGGGAGGCAGCAGUGGGGAAUUUUGGACAAUGGGGGCAACCCUGAUCCAGCCAUGCCGCGUGAGUGAAGAAGGCCUCGGGUU
rnacentral:rRNA from 1 species